rnacentral:rRNA from 1 species
UGGGGAAUUUUGGACAAUGGGGGCAACCCUGAUCCAGCAAUGCCGCGUGUGUGAAGAAGGCCUUCGGGUUGUAAAGCACUUUUGUCCGGGAAGAAAUCCCCUGCCCUAAUACGGCGGGGGGAUGACGGUACCGGAAGAAUAAGCACCGGCUAACUACGUGCCAGCAGCCGCGGUAAUACGUAGGGUGCGAGCGUUAAUCGGAAUUACUGGGCGUAAAGCGUGCGCAGGCGGUGAUGUAAGACCGAUGUGAAAUCCCCGGGCUCAACCUGGGAACUGCAUUGGUGACUGCAUUGCUCGAGUAUGGCAGAGGGGGGUGGAAUUCCACGUGUAGCAGUGAAAUGCGUAGAGAUGUGGAGGAACACCGAUGGCGAAGGCAGCCCCCUGGGCCAAUACUGACGCUCAUGCACGAAAGCGUGGGGAGCAAACAGGAUUAGAUACCCUGGUAGUCCACGCCCUAAACGAUGUCAACUGGUUGUCGGGCCUUCAUUGGCUUGGUAACGUAGCUAACGCGUGAAGUUGACCGCCUGGGGAGUACGGUCGCAAGAUUAAAACUUAAUGAAUUGACGGGGUCAUAGCUGUUUCCU